UUUAGUAACAGAGAAGGAGCUUGCUCCUUCGACGUUAGCGGCGGACGGGUGCACGUGGGCAACCUACCUUAUAGUUUGGGAUAACUCCGGUUUACGGUGAAACCGGGGCUAAUACCGAAUCUGUUUCACCUCAUGGUGAAACACUGAAAGACGGUUUCGGCUGUCGCUAUUGGGCCCGCGGCGCAUUAGCUAGUUGGUGAGGUAACGGCUCACCAAGGCGACGAUGCGUAGCCGACCUGAGAGGGUGAUCGGCCACACUGGGACUGACGGUUUAGCCCCCAGACUCCUACGGGAGGCAGCAGUAGGGAAUCUUCCACAAUGGGCGAAAGCCUGAUGGAGCAACGCCGCGUGAGUGAAGAAGGAUUUCGGUUCGUAAAACUCUGUUGUAAGAAGAACAAGUACAGUAGUAACUGGCUGUACCUUGACGGUACCUUAUUAGAAAGCCACGGCUAACUACGUGCCAGCAGCCGCGGUAAUACGUAGGUGCGUUGUCCGGAAUUAUUGGGCGUAAAGCGCGCGCAGGUGGUUUCUUAUCUGAUGUGAAAGCCCACGGCUCAACCGUGGAGGGUCAUUGGAAACUGGGAGACUUGAGUGCAGAAGAGGAUAGUGGAAUUCCAAGUGUCGGUGAAAUGCGUAGAGAUUUGGAGGAACACCAGUGGCGAAGGCGACUAUCUGGUCUGUAUUUGACUACUGACACUGAGGCGCGAAAGCGUGGGGAGCAAACAGGAUUAGAUACCCUGGUAGUCCACGCCGUAAACGAUGAGUGCUAAGUGUUAGGGGGUUUCCGCCCCUUAUGCAGCUAACGCAUUAAGCACUCCGCCUGGGGAGUACGGUCGCAAGACUGAAACUCAAAGGAAUUGACGGGGGCCCGCACAAGCGGUGGAGCAUGUGGUUUAAUAAGCAACGCGAAGAACCUUACCAGGUCUUGACAUCCCGUUGACCACUGUAGAGAUAUUUCCCCUGGGCAUGUCGGGGGCAACGAGGUGGUGCAUGGUUGUCGUCAGCUCGUGUCGUGAGAUGUUGGGUUAAGUCCCGCAACGAGCGCAACCCUUGAUCUUAGUUGCCAUCAUUUAAAUUGACGUUGGGCACUCUAAGGUGACUGCCGGUGACAAACCGGAGGAAGGUGGGGAUGACGUCAAAUCAUCAUGCCCCUUAUGACCUGGGCUACACACGUGCUACAAUGGACGAUACAAACGGUUGCCAACUCGCGAGAGGGAGCUAAUCCGAUAAAGUCGUUCUCAGUUGGACGUCGUUGUAGGCUGCAACUCGCCUACAUGAAGCCGGAAUCGCUAGUAAUCGCGGCAUCCCAGUGCCGCGGUGAAUACGUUCCCGGGCCUUGUACACACCGCCCACCACGAGAGUUUGUAACAGGGCAUG
rnacentral:rRNA from 1 species